ACGCCAUGGACGCGCCGGAAAACCCGGGAGUGCUCGGGAUGGCGCCAGCUGGGAGUAGCUGACAGUUGGCUGGGUUUGGGCUUGUUCUGGAACAACCAUGUCGCCGUCUUUCCACGUUCCAGACGCACAGCGCUAUCCACGCAGAGGUGCUAUCUGAGUUCUCCGUGGAUGUGGCCGAGAAGAAUGAAUGCUGGAGGAGCCUCCGGAACAGUGUCGGACCGAGAGAAAUAUGUAGGCGGGAGAUCUUCUGUUGCCUUCCUCCAGCAUGGACUUCCUGGUCCUCUUCUUGUUCUACCUGGCCUUCCUAUUGAUUGGCAUUGUCAUGAUCUGCAUCUUCACAAAGAGCCAGCGUUUGAAAGGCCUGGUCCUGGAAGGAGCACAGGUGUGCUCCUGCGUAAUCCCACAAUGUCUUCAGAGGGCCGGCCGGAGGCUUCUUCAUCAGCUCUUCCACACACGGUAUUUGUGGCUCAGGGUUUAAA